UCCCUAUUUUUAUGCAAGUAAAAAUAGCUAGUGAUGUCAAACUUCCAAGAAAAGCUUGUACACUAUUAACAAUAAAAUUACCUGUACCUAAAACCGACACAGGUAGGUUGGUAGAGAAUACCAAGGGGCGCGAGAGAACUCUCUCUAAGGAACUCGGCAAACUGGCCCCGUAACUUCGGAAGAAGGGGCGCCCUUGUAAUAAAGGGUCGCAGUGACCAGGCCCGGGUGACUGUUUAUCAAAAACACAGGUCUCCGCAAAGUCGUAAGACAAUAUAUGGGGGCUGACGCCUGCCCAGUGCUGGAAGGUUAAGGAAGUUGGUUAUUCUUUUUAAGAAAAAGCUGACGACCGAAGCCCCAGUGAACGGCGGUCGUAACGAUAACGAUCCUAAGGUAGCGAAAUUCAUUGUCGAGUAAGUUUCGACCUGCACGAAAGGCGUAACAAUCUGGGCACUGUCUCGGAGAGAGGCUCGGUGAAAUAGACUUGUCCCGUGAAGAUGCGGACUACCUACACCUGGACAGAAAGACCCUAUGAAGCUUGACUGUAUCCUGGAAUUGGGUUCGGGCUUUUCUUGCGCAGCCUAGGUGGGAGGCUAUGAAGGUUCCCUUCCGGGGGGACAUGAGCCAACAUUGAGAGACCACUCUGGAAGAGCUAGAAUCCUAAUGGUGAUCUUUGAAUCAAGACACUUGACAGUUUCAGGUGGGCAGUUUCUCUGGGGCGGAGGCCUCCUAAAAGGUAACGGAGGCGUGCAAAGGUUCCCUCAGCCUGGACGGAAAUCAGGCCUUGAGUGUAAAGGCAAAAGGGAGCUUGACUGCAAGACCAACAAGUCGAGCAGUGGCGAAAGCCGGCCUUAGUGAUCCGACGGUGCCGUGUGGAAGGGCCGUCGCUCAACGGAUAAAAGUUACUCUAGGAUAACAGGCUGAUCUUCCCCAAGAGUUCACAUCGACGGGAAGGUUUGGCACCUCGAUGUCGGCUCAUCACAUCCUGGAGCGGUAGUACGUUCCAAGGGUUGGGCUGUUCGCCCAUUAAAGUGGUACGUGAGCUGGGUUCAGAACGUCGUGAGACAGUUCGGUCCAUAUCCGGUGUAGGCGUUAGAGCAUUGAGAGGAGCGUUUCAUAGUACGAGAGGACCUGAAACGACAUGCCAAUGGUGUACCAGUUCUCACUCCAGUGGGAGACGCUGGGUAGCUAUGCAUGGAGACGAUAAAAGCUGACAGCAUCUAAGUUUGAAGCUCACCUCAAGAUGAGUGCUCUCCAUUAGGUCGCGGGAAGACAACCCGUUUAAUAGGCAUUAGGUCUACGGUUAGCAAUGGCCUCAGCCGAGAUGUACUAAA
rnacentral:rRNA from 1 species